rnacentral:rRNA from 1 species
CGCAUCUGUGCAUGCAGCAUAUCAAUAAGCGGAGGAAAAGAAACUAACAAGGAUUCCCUUAGUAACGGCGAGUGAAGCGGGAAGAGCUCAAAUUUGAAAUCUUAAAGGGUUUCCCUUUACGAAUUGUAGUUUAAAGAAGUGUUUUCUGUUGAGGUUUUGGUAAAAGUUCUUUGGAAUAGGACAUCAUAGAGGGUGAGAAUCCCGUAUUUGACCUUUACUUUCAACUUUGUGAUACACUUUCAAAGAGUCGGAUUGUUUGGGAAUGCAGUCCAAAAUGGGUGGUAAAUUUCAUCUAAAGCUAAAUAUUGGCGAGAGACCGAUAGCGAACAAGUACCGUGAGGGAAAGAUGAAAAGAACUUUGAAAAGAGAGUUAAACAGUACGUGAAAUUGUCAAAAGGGAAGCGUUUGACACCAGUGUUGUUUUUCUGAAAAUCAAUUAAAGAACUGUUUAUGCUAAGUUGUUUAGACUUUAUCAGCUAAUCUGUUUAGUUUUGAGCUUUUCUUUAAUGCACUUUUCAGUUAACAAGUCAACAUCAAUUUCUUUUGCUGUAAAAAAGCUUGAGGAAGGUGGCUUGAGAUUCGUCUUAAGUGUUUAUAGCCUCUUGCCUAUGCAGUCGGAGAGAUUGAGGUCUGCAGCGUAGAUCCUUCGGGGCUAAAUGCAUUUGUGCUAAGUUAUAGCAUUUUAUAGACAACUUGUUGACUAUGAUUUGUCUUGUAGCUUACUCGCUUAUGUUAUUUUACCUACGCUUAGGAUGUUGAUAUGCAUGACUGAUAU